UUCUUUUAAAGAAACGUACUGUAAAAUUAAAAUCGUAACAGAAAAAUGAUUAAAAUAUGGGAGACUUUUAUAAAAUAAAUUAAAAUUAAGUGAUUUUAUUAAAUAAAUUUAAAUUGAGAGAUGAUAUCCAGCACCAACAGUUGAUAGUUAGCUCAAUGAUUUCAGUCCUGCAACAAGUCGCAUCCCGUCUCAUUACUCCAGGUAUAUAAAUUCGGCUCUUUUGUCAACCUGCAAUGCAUUUUGGUCCUUUUUUUUUUAACAAAACUUCAAAUAUCUACCUACUUUUACCGUGUCACUUAUCGGCUGGCAAGAGCACUGCAAUUCUAUAGUUCUAGGCUGGAUCGUUGAUCCCCUUUCCCCUGUUGAAGGAGCUACUAUUAGGGGAUGCAUUUCUUAUUUAAAUGGAAGGGGAAAAGAAAAAAAGAAGAAAAACUUAGGAAGUUAGUCCUAUAAACCUUUUGAUGAUUGCUCUAAAAGCAGUAUAUUAAAAGAAAAGGAUCCUUGUAUGUCAACCUCAAAACUGUAUAAUAAGCUUAAAAAUGAAUUCGCAUACCAAUGGCCAUCUAGUGAGUGCACUAGAUAACAGUAGGCUAGUCUGGCAAGAAAGCAUUACACUCCAUUUUUCUCUCGCAAAUGCAAAACUUUUUGAAUUUAUAUCCUAGCAAAGUCUUCAAGAAGUUACCACCUUAAUUGUUUGAUUCUGUUUCAUUCUCUUCUGCCUUUGUAACACCAACUUCAGCUGGCCGGAUAACACGAUCAUAGAGAGAGUAUCCUGCCUUUAGAACUGCUGCAACAGUGCUUGGAGGCUUAGAAGCGUCUGGUACCUGGAAAACUGCAUUAUGCCUAUGUGGAUCAAAUGGCUCAUUUAUUGGAUCAAAUUUUUCUACUCCAAAUUUCCUAAACACCUCUGCAAGCUGCUUCUCAGUCAUUUCAACUCCUUCCAAAAGGGUCUUAAGAAGUGGAACUGCCCCAGCAGUGUCAGUAGAUGGAUCAAUUUUUGAGUAACUGUCUUUGACGACGGAUGAAGCUCUUCCCAAAUUGUCAGCAACAUCUAGUAGACCCUUUGCAAAAUUCUGUAUGGCAAACUUUUUAGAGUUCUCUGCUUCACGUUUUGUCCUUUCCAUGACAUUCUCCAUUUCUGCAUAAGUGCGAAGAACUUUAUCUUGCAUUUUUUCAAUCUCUUUGUGCUUCAACUUCAGAAGUUCUUCCUUUUCCGCCACAAGCUUCACCAAAUCAUCCAUUGACAGAUCGUCUUCAGCAUCUGAAUCUGAAUCAGAAAAUGCAGUUCGUUUAGCACCUCUUCUCCUUCUUUUGACAGAUUGAGACGUGUUUGAUUGGGAUUCUGAGUUAAAACCUGAUAAUUUGGUAUCUCCAGAAGAUGAAUUUUCUGCCUGAUCAGAAGGCUUUGCAUCUCCAUUUGUUUUUUCUGAUUCAACAUUUGAGGAAGCGCCAUUAUUCCCUACACCGCUCCCCUGUUCUUUUCCAUUAGGCUCAGGGGAUGCAGAUGAAGCAAAUCCAAAUCGUUGAAAGGGGGAGGAACUGAAGGCUGAAUGAUGAAACAAAGACAACUGGCUUGCAACAAACUGUUUAGGAUAUUCAUGAACUAGAGAGUCAAUCUGAUUGGUGAAGAUUGGUAGCUGCUGCUUCUGCGAAGGAGAAAGGAGAAGCAGGGAGCAUCGGCCCACGCCCCUCGAUAAGCGCGACAAAACCACCCUGGAGAUCAACAUAGCUGUAGAAGAUGAUAAAUUGGAAGACAAAUGGAUAAUAUGCAAAAUUUGAGAGAGGUAGAGCAAGAGGAGGAUUCCAGGGAAAGCGAAGGAAAAUAAAGAGGGAAAAUGCGUGCUUGGAGCGAAAGAACGAGGCCCGGAAGGAGUUGAGUUGUAGCAAAAUAUUUAUUGGAUGACCGAAUUACCCUUGUGUAUUAGAAAAUUUCCAUCAAUAUCUCCUAAAGAGAGAGGAUUUUUGAGUUUUUUAUAAGGGUAUUAUUGUCUGAUCUGUAUUGGAGAUUAGGUUUUCUUCGGAAUGCUCCAGAAGCUUUUGUAGGGUGGGCGAAGCUUGGCUGUGUUUGAG
rnacentral:misc_RNA from 1 species